GGGGAUGUCUAUGGUUUCGACGGGAGUGUAGAAUCAGGAUAAGCGAGCCGCAGUUGCUCAGUCUGCGUUAAAAGGGGCACGUUUAAAAUAAACGCUAAAAAAACAAACACACAGUUCGCAUUUGCUGCGUAAGGCAGCGCGACCGUCAGCUCAGAUCCACCUGCAGGUUUGAGAUCUGGCGACGACCAUGCAGGAAAACCUCAUGUGAACUCCCGGCAGCAUGAGGGACUUACGGGAUAGUCGUCCGGCAGGCCUGCCUAUGGGCGUGUCGGAGGGCGAAUAAAUGAUCAUAGGCUGCGCUCGGAGAAAUUCCUGUGGAAAUGCUUUCGGACGCGAGUUCGACUCUCGCCAUCUCCACCA
rnacentral:tmRNA from 1 species